GACGAACGCUGGCGGCGUGCUUAACACAUGCAAGUCGAGCGGUAAGGCCCUUUCGGGGGUACACGAGCGGCGAACGGGUGAGUAACACGUGGGUGACCUGCCCUCAGCUCUGGGAUAAGCCUGGGAAACUGGGUCUAAUACUGGAUAUGACUCCACGGUGCAUGUCGGUGGGGUGGAAAGCCUUGUGCGGCUGAGGAUGGGGCCCGCGGCCUAUCAGCUUGUUGGUGGGGUGANGGCCUACCAAGGCGACGACGGGUAGCCGGCCUGAGAGGGCGACCGGCCACACUGGGACUGAGACACGGCCCAGACUCCUACGGGAGGCAGCAGUGGGGAAUCUUGCGCAAGUGGGCGAAAGCCUGACGCAGCGACGCCGCGUGAGGGAUGACGG
rnacentral:rRNA from 1 species